AUACGGAGGGUGCAAGCGUUGUUCGGAAUUAUUGGGCGUAAAGCGCGCGUAGGCGGCUUGGUAAGUCGGAUGUGAAAGCCCGGGGCUCAACCCCGGAAUUGCAUUCGAAACUGCCCGGCUAGAGUCUCGGAGAGGAGGGCGGAAUUCCCGGUGUAGAGGUGAAAUUCGUAGAUAUCGGGAGGAACACCAGUGGCGAAGGCGGCCCUCUGGACGAUGACUGACGCUGAGGUGCGAAAGCGUGGGGAGCAAACAGGAUUAGAUACCCCAGUAGUCC
rnacentral:rRNA from 1 species